rnacentral:rRNA from 1 species
UAUACAUGCAGUCGAGCGAACAGACGAGGAGCUUGCUCCUUUGACGUUAGCGGCGGACGGGUGAGUAACACGUGGGUAACCUACCUAUAAGACUGGGAUAACUUCGGGAAACCGGAGCUAAUACCGGAUAAUAUUUCGAACCGCAUGGUUCGAUAGUGAAAGAUGGCUUUGCUAUCACUUAUAGAUGGACCUGCGCCGUAUUAGCUAGUUGGUAAGGUAACGGCUUACCAAGGCAACGAUACGUAGCCGACCUGAGAGGGUGAUCGGCCACACUGGAACUGAGACACGGUCCAGACUCCUACGGGAGGCAGCAGUAGGGAAUCUUCCGCAAUGGGCGAAAGCCUGACGGAGCAACGCCGCGUGAGUGAUGAAGGUCUUCGGAUCGUAAAACUCUGUUAUUAGGGAAGAACAAACGUGUAAGUAACUGUGCACGUCUUGACGGUACCUAAUCAGAAAGCCACGGCUAACUACGUGCCAGCAGCCGCGGUAAUACGUAGGUGGCAAGCGUUAUCCGGAAUUAUUGGGCGUAAAGCGCGCGUAGGCGGUUUUUUAAGUCUGAUGUGAAAGCCCACGGCUCAACCGUGGAGGGUCAUUGGAAACUGGAAAACUUGAGUGCAGAAGAGGAAAGUGGAAUUCCAUGUGUAGCGGUGAAAUGCGCAGAGAUAUGGAGGAACACCAGUGGCGAAGGCGACUUUCUGGUCUGUAACUGACGCUGAUGUGCGAAAGCGUGGGGAUCAAACAGGAUUAGAUACCCUGGUAGUCCACGCCGUAAACGAUGAGUGCUAAGUGUUAGGGGGUUUCCGCCCCUUAGUGCUGCAGCUAACGCAUUAAGCACUCCGCCUGGGGAGUACGACCGCAAGGUUGAAACUCAAAGGAAUUGACGGGGACCCGCACAAGCGGUGGAGCAUGUGGGUUUAAUUCGAAGCAACGCGAAGAACCUUACCAAAUCUUGACAUCCUUUGACCCUUCUAGAGAUAGAAGUUUCCCUUUCGGGGGACAAGUGACAGGUGGUGCAUGGCGUCGUCAGCUCGUGUCGUGGAGAUGUUGGGCUAAGUCCCGCACGAGCGCACCUUUAGCUAGUGC